AUUGAACGCUGGCGGCAGGCCUAACACAUGCAAGUCGAACGAGUGGCGGACGGGUGAGUAAUGUAUGGGAAACUGCCCGAUGGAGGGGGAUAACUACUGGAAACGGUAGCUAAUACCGCAUACCAUCGGAUGUGUCCAGAUGGGAUUAGAUAGUAGGUGGGGUAACGGCUCACCUAGGCGACGAUCCCUAGCUGGUCUGUGAGGAUGACCAGCCCUACUGCAACGGAGACACGGUCCGGCCUCCUACGGGAGGCAGCAGUGGGGAAUAUUGCACAAGGGGCGCAAGCCUGAUGCAGCCAUGCCGCGUGUAUGAAGAAGGCCUUCGGGUUGUAAAGUACUUUCAGCGAGGAGGCGUUACUCGCAGAAGAAGCACCGGCUAACUCCGUGCCAGCAGCCGCGGUAAUAC
rnacentral:rRNA from 1 species